AUAAAGAGGCGGUGUGCAUAACCGUUCCCAUCCAGAAUUGUGAGCUGGCACUGCAGCAAGAGCACUGCAAAUAAAUCAAGAAAGAAGAGGAUCUGGGAAUUUAAAAAUAUUUUCAGUAACAAAGGAAUAGCUACUAUUCAUUAAAUAAAAGAUAAUAAUUCA